CCUACGGGAGGCUGCAGUGAGGAAUAUUGGUCAAUGGACGAGAGUCUGAACCAGCCAAGUAGCGUGAAGGAUGACUGCCCUAUGGGUUGUAAACUUCUUUUAUAUGGGAAUAAAAUGUUCCACGUGUGGGAUUUUGUAUGUACCAUAUGAAUAAGGAUCGGCUAACUCCGUGCCAGCAGCCGCGGUAAUACGGAGGAUCCGAGCGUUAUCCGGCUUUAUUGGGUUUAAAGGGAGCGUAGGUGGAGUGUUAAGUCAGUUGUGAAAGUUUGCGGCUCAACCGUAAAAUUGCAGUUGAAACUGGCAGUCGUGAGUACAGUAGAGGUGGGCGGAAUUCGUGGUGUAGCGGUGAAAUGCUUAGAUAUCACGAAGAACUCCGAUUGCGAAGGCAGCUCACUGGACUGCAACUGACACUGAGGCUCGAAAGUGUGGGUAUCAAACAGGAUUAGAUACCCGGGUAGUC
rnacentral:rRNA from 1 species